GCCCAUUGUGGACCAAGGGAUCCUCUGUCUGGCACUCCUGGGUAUUUCAGCUCUUUGAGGUUUUUGCCUCAGGCUCUGAGAUGACUGCAAAAACGGUGGUGGAGAAGAAGAGCUCUUCAGGCAGAGUGAGAGGGAAUGGUUUAUGACUCACAGCCUGUUUUGGAAGCCCAGCAGAGAUCAGCAAGAUGUCAACUCAAAAUUCAGCUGUCUCUGCAAAUGUGCUGAUCAAAGUUCUGCCCAAGACCUAGCAGACACUGCAGAUUAUGUCGACUCAGUGAAGUCAGAGGUGACCAUGGAGGAUCUGCAAGUCUCGGUCUUCUGCCCCUCGUCUUGCAGGAUAUGAGGUAGAAAAGGAAUGGGAUUUUAUCUGCUCUGUAGCUCAAGAGGGUGGAAGGAAAAUCUCACUUUACUUAUAGCACAAGGACUGAAAGCUACAAUUGCACCAAGAAGAAUUCAGGACUACUGAGAUUUGUGCUUUCAAAGAACUAACACAGAAACAAAUCUGCUUCUUGUCUGUGAAAGUUCGUGGGUAGAGCACUAGGAAACUAUGUUCUAAAUAUGGUUUCCAAAUCAGUUCAACGUGACAGUCCUGCUUGGAGAGACACAAAGAUCAACUAUUUGCACAAGGCAGGAUGGGCAGUGACAUGUGUAAGUCAAAAGAACUUACAGAAUAAAAGAAGAUUGAACUCGGAGACCUAUAACAUCAAAUACAAAAGAGAAACUCACUUCUCAGGGCUCUAAUACUGUGAGAUUUUCUCACAAAUGUGGACUCCAGACUCUGCUUCCAGAUCUCCUGCAAAAAUUUAAGGGCACAGCUAAUGACACUUUUAAAGACAAUUUCUGGGCUGACAGAUGGUAGCACUGACUUUUUGCACUUAUUAUUUAGGAUUGUUUUGCACUCAUAGAAACAGUGAACGCAUUCUGAAACUCUGAUGGCAAUGUGACAGUCACAAAUCUCAUAGAAUCCUAGAAUGGCUAAGGUUGGAAGGACCCCAGAGAUCAUCUGCUCCAACUUCUCUGCCAUGGGCAGGGAUGUCUCUCAGCUAGACUCAGCUGCUCAAGGCCUCAGCUGGCUGGGCCUUCAACAAUCCCAGGGAGGAGGCAUCCACAACCUCAUAGGGUAACCUAUUCCAGAGUCUCACCAACCUCAUACUGAAGAACUUCUUCUUGAGAUCCAGUCUCACCCUGCUCUCCUUCAGCUUAAAACCAUUCCCCCUUGUUCUCUCUCUAGGCACACUUAUGAAAAGCCCCUCUCCAGCCUUUCUGUGGAACCCCUCUGAGGUGCCCCUGGAGUAUUCUCUUC